rnacentral:rRNA from 1 species
UACGUAGGGUGCAAGCGUUGUCCGGAAUUAUUGGGCGUAAAGAGCCUGCUGAUGAGCGGUUUGUUGCGUCGGCUGUGAAAUCCCGAGGCUCAACCGCGGGCCUGCAGCCGAUACGGGCAGGCUAGAGUUCGGUAGGGGAGACUGGAAUUCCUGGUGUAGCGGUGAAAUGCGCAGAUAUCAGGAAGAACACCCGUGGCGAAGGCGGUUCUCUGGGACGGUACUGACGCUGAGACGCGAAAGCGUGGGGAGCGAACAGG